ensembl:misc_RNA 7SK 7SK RNA
AGUUCAGGUGAUCUGGGUGUAACAUCACCCCAUUGAUCACAAGUGUUGUUUUGGCUACUAUGUCUGGCAAGGGAGGCACCCCUUCCAACCUUUUGGUUCCACGUGUAUCCCUCCUGAAGCUGAGAGCUCAAUUGAAGAGAACAACCUUCUUGGAGGGAAGAAGACUGUUAGUCAACCAAGAUAUACUGGCAGUUGUGCUAUAGUGCUAGAAGCUCCAGCUAAGGUCUCAAUAUAAAACAUUGAUUCUAAGAAAUAGUUACGUUAAAAAAUGAAAUGUUCUCCAGAUUAAUAUAUUGCUUU